CAUUCUUCACGACAGCCACGGGCGGAAGCAACCCAAGUGUCCUGUGACAGAGGAUGGAUCUGCCUAUACCAUGGACUAUCACCCAGCUUUCAAAAAGGAAAUUCUGACACUUGCUACAACAUGAGGAAUGCUGAGGACAUGAUGUGAUACUGACAGGCCCUGGCUGGCACAUCCACGGGGCCUCCCAGAGUAGGAUACUGGGAAUGCCAGCGAGAUCCUCAGAGCUUUCUCGUUGGGGAAGCCCCUUCCUCGCCUGCACCUUGAGACCAAAAUGUAAAUACUUCUUGCAGCAGGAGUUGUUUUCAAAGGACGUGCGGUAAAGCCCCUGGCAGCAGGGAAGAAACAUGUGGAUCUGCCUGCCUGUGAGAAAGGAACGUCUACCGAGCGCCCACCAGGGACCCAAUUCAAACAUCCCUCCAUCCGUCCAGGCUUCUCGCCUCACUCAACGAGGUGUUUCCCCUUCACCAGCUGAGAAGCCACAUCCCCAACUGAAAACACCCAGCGGAGGGGCUGCAGCUCCCCCGCCCUAGUCCGGGUCUGCCUGUGUCUGUGCGUUGUUAAAAACAACAGGUACUGUUCAAAGAAACCCAGGCAGUUUCUUUCUCUCACUGGUAAGUGAGUGUGGUGAUCAUCAGAUUACUGAGCUAAGCCUUUCACUGCUUCUGUUGACCAAAGAGAGUGCUCCGUCUAGAAGACGAGUGUAUUACGUAAGCUACUUCUACAGUCACAGACAAAGAGAAACCGAGGAAAAAGACCCAGCUGUGCCAGCCUUUCUGAUGUAUUAAAAGUACCCAAUGCACGUCA